GGGGUUGUAACUCAGUGGUAGAAUAUCUUCUUGACAUGCAGACGAUCGCUGGUUCAAUCCCCUGCAUCCCCA
rnacentral:tRNA from 1 species